GAUGUCUUAGUGCCUGUGCUGGGCCAGGGACUUUACUUGGGUUUCCUGCAGCUCCCAGCUCCCUGGGCAGCAGCUGGCUUCUGCAUUUCACCCCCUUAUGGUUCAGCAGCAGGAUUGGCCCCUUCAUUUCCCCCCACUGCAUUUGGCUGUGCUGCGUCGCUCUGUGGGCAAAGGCCGGUCACGCUGGGAUCGAGCCCCAGUCUGAGCCCCACAUUCUCUUGGUGAAAUCACUCCCCAGGCUGGAGGACAUCUGGAGGGGGAGACCCCACCCCAGGGAGCUUACCCCAGGCAAGCGGGGCCCCUGGGAACUCGGCGAGCCAGAGCCAGCCCCUUUUGGAAGGCUGCAGGGGAAGCAUGACUGAGGUGGAGCCUGUGCUGGACUUUGCAUCCUCUGGGAGGACUGGCCGCAGGAACGCCCUCCCUGACAUCCUGGGCUCGCCGGCCGGUGUCAGCCCCUCCGACCUGCCUCUGAAAUUAGCUGAAAUGUCUCUAAGCUCAGACAGAUCCCAGGAAAUGCAGUCCCCCUCCACAGAGGUGCCCCCGCAGCAGCCCCAAAGCCCAGAGCUGAAGGACACGUCUUAACACCUCCCCGGGGAUGCAUUUCUGACCAGCAGGGAAAGGAGAGAUUGUCGAGCAUCAACACAGCUUGAGUGGUGGGGCCUGGAGCUUGCUGGGUUUUCCUUGGUGCUAUGCAGCAAGAACAUCUUGUGUUCCUUGGAGCAGGGGAGUAGAGGACCCUCCCAAGGGGAAUAAGCAACCACGCGUUUGGCAAAGCUGGGGAAAAACCCUGCGGGGAAACGUUUCUUCGAUGGCAUUUAAGGACAUGACUUAGGAACCAAGGGCAUUUGUUUGGGGGUAUUUUCUCAUCUUCACAGCCGAACAGCUGAGCGGUGCUGCCGCCCGCGAUGUCUCCGUGCUAGGAUCGUGACGAGCACCCAAGGGUUGUUCUUAGCUGAGUACGUUCGUUCACUGUGAUGUUCUGGGGCACAAUUUCCUUGUCUUUUCUUUUAUAAUAGAUGAUCCAGUAUCCUUAUUCAGGCCUUCUGAGAAGCCUGGGGCAAAUGGUGCAGUGGGGGUCCGUAGCACAUUCUCCUCUCUGGCACCCAAAGGUGAAGCCCUUGUCUGGCAAACAGAAGCGAGUCCCUUCCCAGGCUGGGUCCUGCUUACGCUGGGACCCCUGCCACUUGCAGGAUAAAGCUACCUAGAGCCCUGGCUCCCUUUAGGAGCUUGCCAACCAAAGGGGAUGAAGUUUGGCAGUUUCACCAAAGUCUCAAAGCAGCCAGCAGGCCACAUCGGGGCGUAAGUGACGUCAAUCCAUGGAGCUUAGCAUCACUGGUGAACCAGGCUCAGCCCUGGCCCCUGGGCUUGCCUGGAUCUCUGCCCACAUGCAGCACCCCUGCCCCAGGUUGUGGUUAGGGGCCAGGGCAUACUGUGCACAGCUACCUCCCCCACGACUGGCCUUCAGGAGCAGCGCUGACUCUGCCCCCGAGCCAUGGCUGCCGCCUGAGCUAAUCAGGAGCAUCGAGCGCUCGGGAUGAGAAACGGCCGGCGGGGCUCUGCGGAGAGAGAAGGGGCGUCAGUGGGUUUCACAGCAAACCCCAGAGGGGGCUGCCCCAAACAACAGCAGAGAACCUGAGGCCUAGGAUUUUGCUGCCUAAACACAGGUGUUGUCUACCUGGCAGCACACUGCCCUCUGCAGGGAGAUUGGUGCGUUACACAGCCCCAAGUUCCCAUCCCUUACCGGCCAGGACGGCAGGGAACGAUUUGCAGGUGGUACAAGGCGCUACUCAGGUUUCGGGGGGGGUUUAAUGUUUGCUUUUCACUACAGGCGUAGAGGGACCCUCCACCGUGCCUGGAUCCUCCCUGCCCCCGAGAGGAGGAAAAUAUAAAGGAAACCUAGUGGGUUUGGCUCACAUAUAGUGUGCCACUUCAGCGAGUGCUGCCGUGGCCACACGGGGCAGGGUUCUGGAUUGAUAGAGGGCUCCCUCCUGCCAUGGUCUGCUCCAUAGGGGAGCUCUAGGACAGAGAACCCUGCUGUCCUGCUCGCCAUGGCCUCUCUCUUACUAUUCCUGUUGUUUGUAUUGCAGUAGUGCUAGGAGCCCCCGUCACGGGCCCAGGCCCCACUGGGCUGGGCGCUGUGCACACCCAGCGGAGACACUCCCAGCCCUGAAGAUCAAUGGGCCGUGCCCAGGCUGCAUGAGGGCUCAUGCUGGCUUUCGCCCCAGCACUCACUGUGGCCACCUGGCUCGCGGGAGGGAGACGAGCACUAUGCAUCCACCAGGACUCACUGCCACUGGCCUUGCCUCCAGCCUUGGGCACACAGGAGCCAGGAGAAUAGCCCCUCGAGGGAAUUCGUUUAGAUUCAGACCUUCCCCUCCCACUUGUGUCCCUGGGCUCCCUAACUCCUCCUUCGAGUGGGCACCCUGUGCCUGUGUUGCCAGCCCCCCACCCCCGGUUGCCUCCAGCCAUGGUCUCUGGUUUGGGUGCUCAGGGGACUAGGAUUUUGUUGUCCUUUCCCUGGGGGCUGGGCUCAUCGCCUUGGCUGGCCUUUCACCUUCUGCCAGCGCAAAUGCCAAGGAGUCUGAGGCUGCCCCCACUCUCGGAGAAUGCAGAACUGCUGCCCAGGUUUCUUAUUGACCUCCUGGGCUCCCAGACCCAGCAAACUGAGGUGAAGAACACUCCUUCCCCCUCUGGCACUCUUGCUAAGGUCAGGUCUCCAGCAUGGUAGCUCCUGCCUUGGCACGGGGAAGUUCCUCCUGGGACAGGACCAGGGCCGGCUCCAGGCACCAGCUUAACAAGCAGGUGCUUGGGGCGGCCGAGGGAGAGGGGCGGCACCUGCGGCAAUUCGGGGGCAGCAGAUCCCUCACUGCAUCUAGGAGCGAAGGACCUGCCGCUGAACUGCCGCCGCCGAUCGCAGCUUUUUUUUUUUGCUUGGGGUGGUAGAAAUGCUGGAGCCGGCCCUGGACAGGACUGAGCUGUGCAGGGGCUCUGGUCUCCCAGCUGUGGAAUCAGGGUAGAGCUCACUGCCCCGGCAGGCCUGAGGUCAUCAGAAUACAGCCGGAAACACAUCGGUGUCGCAAGGAACAAGAUGCUUCUAAUAAACCUUUGUGCUGCACAGUAACACCGGCCCCUUGCCAUUCUCCAGCACCUUCCAGCUGAGGAUCUCCUAGUCCUAUACAAAAAGAUCCCAUGGACCCAAAAAUACAACCCGACCCUGGUUAUAGACAGGAAUGAAUAUAUCGCUGGUCCAAGGGACUUGCUACACCCAGUGUUGGGCAUUUAAAAAAAAAAACAACAGCUCCAGUGAUACACAGAACAACUCCUAAAGGCUUGACAUAGACUUAAGAAAUUCAUUUCUCCUUAACUACCUAGGGGACAAACAGACACUUCCUGCCAUUAAAAAAGCUGGUAUUCCCAGCUUUCCAGGGGUAUAAAGCACUAAUUUCUAAUCAUCCAAGGUCAUUUUAUCAGAUCUUUUAAAUCUCAACACUCCGAUUACCAUCUUGCUUCCCACCCCCCUCUCCCCACACUUGAAUUCCAAUGUGUUUUGGUAGCUGCCAUCUCAAGAACCACUUGAGACAGAAACUGAUGCUGCCUGUCCUCUUGGUGGAAGCUUGGAAAUCUGAGAUUCCCAAGGGGAUAAAGCAUCAACCUCUAACUUGAAAUAUCAGCUGCUAAAAAUCACACUGGAACAAACGUGCUUUGUUGAUGGGACCAAUACAAAUGGUUUCAGGACCAAUCUGAUUUUUCUAAGCACUGAUCCUGUGCUGAAUUUGCAAAACAUCCGUCUGCCAAGAUAUUGCUGGAAGGCUCAGGCCUAGAUUCUGAUCUCAGUGACUACCGGGAUAAAUCUGGAGUAAGUCCAUUGCAGUGAAUGGAGUUAUUCCAAUUUUACACCAGUAGAAAUGAGACCAGACUCUGGCCCCCCACGGCUAAAUAAUGCUUGUAAAAGGAUACUGGAUUUAGCAUCAUUCCUAACAUGUAAACAAGAGGUUUCCUGGAUUUAAUGUCUGUGUAACGUGUAUGUGUGGGUGGGUGUCGGCUGUGUAUAGUGUGUACAUGCUGCUUCCUGGAGCGUCUGAGCACAGCUGGGAACAGAGUGAAUGCGGAGACUGGUUUGUGGUGGACACUUGUGACCAGGGCUGGGAGGAAGGUCUGAGGACUGGGAUUUCCAAAGGGAAAUUUCAGAUGGGCAGAUGCCCCCAGCGCCCAAACUGUCAGAGCUCAUUGGUUUUGACUGGGUUGCUGUCAGGAAUUGAGAUGGGGCGGGGAGGGCAGUGAACACGGAGGGUCUUUUUUUAAGGGAGCAGCGUGCAUCUCUGGGAGAGUCCUGAGCUGCUCCCACCUGGGGACUUGUUUGGGUAAUAAAUUGUGAGUAUUUUCCUGUGAA